UGAUAAUUUAAUAUGGAAUUUAAAAGGUUGAAACAGUUAUUUACUUUUUAGGAAAUUAAAACAUUCCCUAGGUGGAUAUAUAUUUUCCCUCUGAAACAGAAGAUGUACUCGUGGUUGAUUAAAAAAAAAAGAAAGAAAGAAAGGGAGGAGUGGGCAUUUCUCUCACCCUUCCCUUCCCAGCUCCCAACUGCACCCGUACACCAGUUGAUCUCGCUAAUGUUGACCGACUAUCAGCCAGUCUGUUUCUUCUUAUUCUUUCUCUUAUAUUGAAUUGCUCAGAAAACUGGGUGAAAAUGUCACCCCAGCAAAUACUUCCCUACUAUCAUUUACCUCCUUGGUCUUCGUUGUAGCAGUAUUAAGUGAGGGCAGUCUUUCUCAUAGGUAUUUUAUGAAUCUUGUGAGCUAAGAUCCUGCCCAAGAUCAUAGAUCUUUCUGAAUAGUUUUACUGAGGGUAUUGUAGGACUUCUGCUGAAUGGAUGAGGAAAAACCUGGGCUGGCACAAGGAUCUUGUCAUAACUUAAAAAUACACACAUACAGUUAUUCUCGCUAACUUUCUGAUAUUAAAUGCAGUUGUAACUGGGAAAUUUGCUAUAUAAUAAUGGGUUGUAAUAAAAAAUGUGAUUCAUCCAACAGCUCCCACUUCAUAAUUUUUUGCAUAUCUGCAGAACAACACCAAUGAACUGAUGCUCAGAAACUUACUUUAAUGAAUAGGUAAUAAUUAUUCUAAAUCGGGAUAGCAAGGAUAUUUUUGUGCCAUUGCACAAUGCCAAGAACAUUCUCAGGAGUCUAGGCAUUUCCACUGGAAACUUGCAUAUUCAUUCUGAUGACUAUAAUAAAGAGGAUAUGGUAGAUCUCUGCACAGAGGAUCCUUUCCCCAUCAUCCUUCCUGUCUUCCAGUUCUGUUCUCCAGGAGAAUGUAUUAGGAAGGG
rnacentral:lncRNA from 1 species